rnacentral:tRNA from 1 species
GCCCCUGUAGCUCAGUCGGAUAGAGCGACCCUCUCCUAAAGGGUAGGCCAUCGGUUCGAUUCCGGUCAGGGGCA